GCCGGUGAGAGAGAACGAUCGUUGUUCGAAAAGUCAAAUUUUUCGCGUGUACACGAAGCAUCAAGGAUUCGUAUGUGAGGUGUGUUUGUGUCGCGCAAAGCCGUGAGACACUCUGUGUAAACGUGCGUCGUGAAUCUCAUCCUCGGUCGCUUCCAGUAGCGAAUCAUUCGCAACCCGGCACGUGCCGGCAGUCUCGAGCGAGCCGGCGAAAAUCUAACCUAACCUUCAAAGGCAGCUGCGUACGGACAGCGAGCUCGAAGUACGUAGUCUUCAAGUUCUUCUCGAGCAGAGCCUAACUAUUCGGUCAGGUCCCAGGGAAGUUUCAACGGGCAACGUUUCGGUGGGUUUCGCGAACGACUGCGAAGCCGUGUUGAUCAUCAAUGGAGGACUAUAAAAUAAUGCAAGAAAUGAAGAGACAUGCAGUUAUUGUCGCUAUAUGCGCGAAACACACCGAUUUAGAAAUCUCCAAUUUUCUCAAUUGCGCCCAAUCAUUCGUACAUAAGGUUCGUCGUGAAUUGGAAGCAUCAGCUGGCGAUGUAGAAACUGUUGCAAAACGCAAAAAACAUGAGGAACGCUACUAAAAAUACACAAUUUGUCCAACAAGUGCAAGAGAUCGUUGACGGAAGCCCUUCAAAGUCCAUGAGGGGCAUUGCGAGGGACCUGAAUGUCUCUGAGAGCCUAAUCCGUCGAGUUGUCCACGAAGACCUCCGCUAUACGUCCUACGUUAUGCGCAGAGGACAGUUUAUGUCUGCACAAACUCGGGAACAGAGACUUAUCCGAGGAAAACGUCUUUUGAACAAGCUUAAGCACCCUGAAGUUCCUAACAUGUUGUGGUUUUUUUCUGACGAAAAAAAUUUCCACCAAGACCAAAAAAUUAAUGGGAG